AUGAACGCUGGCGGCGUGCCUAAUACAUGCAAGUCGAGCGAACGGACGAGAAGCUUGCUUCUCUGAUGUUAGCGGCGGACGGGUGAGUAACACGUGGAUAACCUACCUAUAAGACUGGGAUAACUUCGGGAAACCGGAGCUAAUACCGGAUAAUAUUUUGAACCGCAUGGUUCAAAAGUGAAAGACGGUCUUGCUGUCACUUAUAGAUGGGUCCGCGCUGCAUUAGCUAGUUGGUAAGGUAACGGCUUACCAAGGCAACGAUGCAUAGCCGACCUGAGAGGGUGAUCGGCCACACUGGAACUGAGACACGGUCCAGACUCCUACGGGAGGCAGCAGUAGGGAAUCUUCCGCAAUGGGCGAAAGCCUGACGGAGCAACGCCGCGUGAGUGAUGAAGGUCUUCGGAUCGUAAAACUCUGUUAUUAGGGAAGAACAUAUGUGUAAGUAACUGUGCACAUCUUGACGGUACCUAAUCAGAAAGCCACGACUAACUACGUG
rnacentral:rRNA from 1 species